UACGUAGGGGGCAAGCGUUGUCCGGAUUCAUUGGGCGUAAAGAGCGUGUAGGCGGCCAGGUAGGUCGGUUGUGAAAACUGGAGGCUCAACCUUCAGAGGUCGACCGAAACCAUCUGGCUAGAGUCCGGGAGAGGAGAGUGGAAUUCCUGGUGUAGCGGUGAAAUGCGCAGAUAUCAGGAAGAACACCCGUGGCGAAAGCGGCUCUCUGGAACGGUACUGACGCUGAGGAGCGAAAAGCGUGGGGAGCAAACAGG
rnacentral:rRNA from 1 species